GUCUAUGCUCUCAACUGCGAGCGCUAAAUACAAAUACUUUGACCAUGUUUCCGCCCGGUCUCGAACCGGGGACCGGGAGCCGAGAUUAGUCGUCCUUAACUUCCUUAACUUUUCCCAUUCAUUCUCUAUGGUAGUUCUUAUCACUACGGAUGUAAUAUUUUUCCGGCCACAAGCGGGAUUUUGGUGGCGCCGUUUCCCCCCUCGGCAGAAGUAAGGAGAUGAUUUAUUUUCUGAGUGAAAGACAGCAUCGAACGUUCUCGGGCGUUGAACGUUCUGGAAGAGUUGACAAUUAUUUUCAUCCGUGGACAAGUUAACUUUUCGCCAGGAGACACCAAGUUAACAACAAGUUAGCUUUUCAAUUUGAAAAGAAAUCAUGAAUCCCAUCAGCUUCUUCCCCGGAAAGAUGACGGUGACAUUUAGGAAGGGACCAUCGGGUCAUCUGCGGCAGGACCCAUCCUCUGAGGCCAUGAGGAUAAAACAUAAUCCUGGGCUUCAGGUCAAUAGUCCCGCUGAGAAACAUGAGCUAGUGAAGACCAGCGCUCGCACUGUGGUCAUCCAGCGAGGAGGGGAUGUGUCGGACCGACAGGAGGUGAUGGGAGAGUACCUGCUGCAGUUCGGCAAGUACCAGGGAAAAUCGUUCAAGUGGCUCCUAGAGAACGAUGUUGGCUACACCAUCUACCUGAUGAAAAAGGUAGACGAUGAGGAGAGAGCCGGGACCUUCAACCCACAGGGACACAGUAAGGACAGCCUGCUGUCUUUUCUGGACUAUGCCAGGAGCUUCCAGGAAAUACAGGACCUGAGGAACUACCUGAUCUCCAGGACGCCUACUGAACCAGUGGCGUCAGAGGGGGACAAUAUUGUCGGCUUUGGUCGCAGGGCCAAAACCACCUGGAGGCAGAUCUGGGAGAGCAGGGCAGAUGGUUAUGCUGCCUACAUCUCACGCCAAAAGUGCAUCAAAAACAGCAAGAUGUACAACCUGCAGCAGUACAUCCUCAAGCAGGAAAGGGCUGACUCCUGUCCAACACCUGCAGAAGGCUCCACCACAUCUCUUGCCUCCACCCCAACAUCAGGCACUCUAGGUCAGUUCACAACAAUAUUCAAAUACUGACUUCAUGAUCUUUUAAUGUACCUAAAACACAAUGAAUGUUUUGUUUAAUCUCCUGUCCAACACCUGCAGAAGGCUCCAUCACAUCUACUGCCUCCACCACAUCUACUGCCUCCACCCCAACAUCAGGCACUCUAGGUCAGUUCACAACAAUAUUCAAAUACUGACUUCAUGAUCUUUUAAUGUACCUAAAACACAAUGAAUGUAUGGUUUAAUGGAGGAGGAUGAGGAACUGGAGAGACAGAUGUUGAACCUGUCUCAAUCUUUAUUUGACAACGGACUAAGUAGGUGGAUCAUAAAAGGUUAAACCGUAACUCUUCCUGUACUUGAUCAAAUGUCCCCUGUGCUUUCAGGCCCACCAGCAGCAGUCCAGGGAAGAGCAGCUGUGGAUCCAACAAAAGGUUUUUCUUCAUUAGUGGAUGAUGGUAAGUGUUUUGUGUUAUAUGCAUGCUUCGUUUAAGCUGUCGUUCAAGGAUUUGGCGUGUGAAAUACCACAGAGGCUUAGAUACAGGUUCACAUGCUGCUAGACCUGCAGAACCGGAUGACCCCACUGUGACUGCUGCGAAAGCCACAGCGAAGGCCCUGUUGCCGGUCCCUGCCCAGCUGCUCGCCAUUGCCCCAGAGCUCGGGAUAAGAGAGCAGGAGCCCGAUGUGGUGAAACAAACACACAGAAAGGCAGUCUCCCGCAGUCCUUUGGAGUCUGUGAUAAGAGCAGAAACAUCAUCCCUACAGAGUAUUGCCCCUGUUGAAGCACAGGGAGACACUGUCCAUGAUGAAGCUCCACCAUGUCCUGCGCCUCCUGUCAGGCAGCCAGCAGCCCCAGGCUACAAUCAGGAUGUUGCACAGUGGAACUGCUCCCAUCAGCAGCAGAUCUGGAUGAAGACUGAGCUUGAGACAUUGGGUCUGUGGCCAGGGUCACGUCCAGUACGUCACCCAAUGAACAUGAUUACCCUGUGGCGCUAUCCACCUCAGCCUGAGCUCAUACACAAUAUUGCUCCACUGCCUUCGCCCAAAUAUUUUCAGCUCCACCCAUUCUUAAUUUGGAAGCCGGAGCAUGCAAUCAUGGAGAGGGUGAGGAACAAUUUUGUCCUGCCCUGCCUUCAUGGUUGUCCAAACCCUCAGGUAGCUUCUUCUGAUGUUGGACGGCCCAGAGUGAUCAUCGGCACCAGUGGUCAGUACUAUUGAGGGGAAAAACGGUCUGUCUAGUUACUGGACCAGAUACAAUGAGUCGGAGAGGUAAUAAAGUCUGUCGGCACGAGGACCUUGGAUUUAUUAAGUAAAGUGGC
ensembl:lncRNA